UCCUACAUUUGCGGACAUAUUUGAAGUGGUGCUUUGCAAUUUAUUUACUGUAAACACAAGUAUUUUAGCCAAAUAUAAUUUAUGAAAUGGCAAACCAGAAUGAAACAACAGCAGAUAUCAGCUCCCGCUAAAGCAAAAGACGACUACAUGCGUAGGUUAGUGCGCAGGUGUAGAGCGCGCGGCCGUCUGCAGGAGGUUUGCUGGAACGCGAUCCUGAGGUGAAAUUUCUUUAAGAGGUUUUAAAAACGUUCUACACUGUGGAGUACAGCUGCGAGUGAUGUUAGCAGGUUCCGCAUGCUGGAUAAGAACAGCAUUUGUGAGACGACAUCAACUCAUCAUCCGAGUGGACAAGAACACCAACAGAGGAAGCCAAGCCGCAAAAACAAUGAAAAAUUGUCAUGACUUUUUAUUUUAAAUAAAAGUUAUGUGAUAAUAAACA